UCUGGUUGAUCCUGCCAGUAGUCAUAUGCUUGUCUCAGAGAUUAAGCCAUGCAUGUCUAAGUACAUACCUUUAAACGGUGAAACCGCGAAUGGCUCAUUAAAUCAGCUAUGGUUCCUUGGAUCGUACAUACUACAUGGAUAACUGUAGUAAUUCUAGAGCUAAUACAUGCCACUAUGCCCUGACCCGCGAGGGAACGGGUGGAUUUAUUAGAACAGAACCAACCGGGGGCGGCUUCGGUCGUCCCUGUUGCAUUCUGUGAUGACUCUGGAUAACUUCACUGAUCGCAGUCGGCCUUGUGUCGGCGACGGAUCUUUCAAAUGUCUGCCCUAUCAAUUUUCGAUGGUAGGUGACCUGCCUACCAUGGUGCUAACGGGUAACGGGGAAUCAGGGUUCGAUUCCGGAGAGGGAGCCUGAGAAACGGCUACCACUUCCAAGGAAGGCAGCAGGCACGCAAAUUACCCAAUCCCGGCACGGGGAGGUAGUGACGAAAAAUACGGAUACGGGACUCACUAGAGGCUCCGUAAUUCGAAUGAGUACAAUUUAAAUCCUUUAACGAGGAUCAACUGGAGGGCAAGUCUGGUGCCAGCAGCCGCGGUAACUCCAGCUCCAGAAGCGUAUAUUAAAGUUGUUGCAGUUAAAAAGCUCGUAGUNGGAUCUGGGUCGCAUGGGUCAAAGAAAAUCAUGUAACCAAUUUCUCUGCUGCGUUUCCAUUGUGCAUGAGUGUGGACGAGUGUGCACGAACAGAGAAACGCCUAACCAGUCACUCAGCUUUCAACCAAGCCCUGUCUACUCCGUGGUCCUUUUGACCAUCAGGUUUCCAACAUCAUUUUAGUUGCAUUUCGAUAACAGACGGAGCUGAGCACGCUAUCCAUGGUUUGUCAGGAUCGCUGUCGCACAUACACGCCCCACAUGACAUGUUGGCGACGUGUGAAUGGCAUGCAGCUUUCGAGCGUGAGGGCUGAGAAAUGGAAACA
rnacentral:rRNA from 1 species